AACAGCAAGAAGAAGACACACAAAGAAGAAAAAGAAGCAGAAGGAGAACCAUGAGUGUUGGUGUUGGCGGUUAGCUGCAGAAAAGAAGUUCCCUUGAAGUGAGCCACGUGUGGAUGGGACUUGCAUGUAUGUAUGUCUUCAUGUCCAACAACAUAUUGUGAAAUAAAUAUCCUUCCCAAUGAUUAUACCAAUCACUACCCAUCUGACCCAUUCAUAUGUCUGGGGAAGAUUAUACACACGCUUUCAAAUGAGGGUGUUAUCUUAUAUUUUCUUAACUAAAGUGCACCUCUACUGUUAAAUUUAACAGUUUAUUUUAUUACUCCGAUUGUUUUUACAGGGUUUAACUGCUGAAAUGUUUCCCCGAGUUCAGGUGAUGUAUUGAUAUAGAUGCAUAAUGACCUGACUGCUUUGCCUUCAUGUUACUUUCAAUUUGUCAAAUAAAAUCAAAUUGUCAAGAAA